AUGGCGGAAGCCCUUGCUCUCAAGUUUGGUUUAACUCUAGCGCAAAGGGCGGGAUGUAAUCGCCUUGUUAUUAACUCAGAUAAUCUGGAGGUAAUUUAUACUAUGCAGAAUGGAGGACAAUCAGCGGCAGCAAUAUUCGACGAUUGUUUUCAUUAUGCUUGUGAUUUUAGUAUUACUAGAUUCGAACAUUGUAAUAGAGAAGCAAAUAAAGUAGCUCAUGAGCUUGCUAAAUUAGCUAGAUUUUUGACUUAUGUCUGGUUUGAGGAACCUGUAGAUGAGAUUGUAAUGAUCCUCAUGAACGAUGUACUUCUUAUAUCUAAUGAAUAA
rnacentral:rRNA from 1 species